AGAGUUUGAUCCUGGCUCAGAUUGAACGCUGGCGGCUGGCCUAACACAUGCAAGUCGAGCGGAUGAAGGGAGCUUGCUCCUGGAUUCAGCGGCGGACGGGUGAGUAAUGCCUAGGAAUCUGCCUGGUAGUGGGGGAUAACGUCCGGAAACGGGCGCUAAUACCGCAUACGUCCUGAGGGAGAAAGUGGGGGAUCUUCGGACCUCACGCUAUCAGAUGAGCCUAGGUCGGAUUAGCUAGUUGGUGGGGUAAAGGCCUACCAAGGCGACGAUCCGUAACUGGUCUGAGAGGAUGAUCAGUCACACUGGAACUGAGACACGGUCCAGACUCCUACGGGAGGCAGCAGUGGGGAAUAUUGGACAAUGGGCGAAAGCCUGAUCCAGCCAUGCCGCGUGUGUGAAGAAGGUCUUCGGAUUGUAAAGCACUUUAAGUUGGGAGGAAGGGCAGUAAGUUAAUACCUUGCUGUUUUGACGUUACCAACGAAAUAAACACCGGCUAACUUCGUGCCAGCAGCCGCGGUAAUACGAAGGGUGCAAGCGUUAAUCGGAAUUACUGGGCGUAAUCCGCGCGUAGGUGGUUCAGCAAGUUGGAUGUGAAAUCCCCGGGCUGACCUGGGAACUGCAUCCAAAACUACUGAGCUAGAGUACGGUAGAGGGUGGUGGAAUUUCCUGUGUAGCGGUGAAAUGCGUAGAUAUAGGAAGGAACACCCGGGGCGAAGGAGACCACCUGGACUGAUACUGACACUGACGUGCCAAAGCUUGGGGAGCAAAUGGGAUUACAUACCCUGCUAGUCCGCGCCCUAGACGAUGUCGACUAGGCGUUGGUAUCCUUGACAUCUUAUUGCUCCGGUUUACCCCCGGAAUCCUCCGUCUGGUGCCCACCCGAGGUGGGGGUAAACUCAGACGAAUUGAGCGCUGCCUACGCAACUUAUGCAGCAUGUGCACGAAUUCAAAUGACCACGGCCAACCUUACCUGGCCUUGACAUGCUGAGAACUUUCCAGAGAUGGAUUGGUGCCUUCGGGAACUCAGACACAGGUGCUGCAUGGCUGUCGUCAGCUCGUGUCGUGAGAUGUUGGGUUAAGUCCCGUAACGAGCGCAACUCUUGUCCUUAGUUACCAGCACCUCGGGUGGGCACUCUAAGGAGACUGCCGGUGACAAACCGGAGGAAGGUGGGGAUGACGUCAAGUCAUCAUGGCCCUUACGGCCAGGGCUACACACGUGCUACAAUGGUCGGUACAAAGGGUUGCCAAGCCGCGAGGUGGAGCUAAUCCCAUAAAACCGAUCGUAGUCCGGAUCGCAGUCUGCAACUCGACUGCGUGAAGUCGGAAUCGCUAGUAAUCGUGAAUCAGAAUGUCACGGUGAAUACGUUCCCGGGCCUUGUACACACCGCCCGUCACACCAUGGGAGUGGGUUGCUCCAGAAGUAGCUAGUCUAACCGCAAGGGGGACGGUUACCACGGAGUGAUUCAUGACUGGGGUGAAGUCGUAACAAGGUAACCGUAA
rnacentral:rRNA from 2 species